UAAGGAAUAUUGGUCAAUGGACGCAAGUCUGAACCAGCCAUGCCGCGUGGAGGAUUAAGGCCCUCUGGGUUGUAAACUCCUUUUAUCUGGGAAGAAAUGUACUUUUUCUUGAGUACUUGACGGUACCAGAGGAAUAAGCACCGGCUAACUCCGUGCCAGCAGCCGCGGUAAUACGGAGGGUGCAAGCGUUAUCCGGAUUCACUGGGUUUAAAGGGUGCGUAGGUGGGCAGGUAAGUCAGUGGUGAAAUCUCCGGGCUUAACCCGGAAACUGCCGUUGAUACUAUUUGUCGUGAAUAUUGUGGAGGUCAGCGGAAUAUGUCAUGUAGCGGUGAAAUGCUUAGAUAUGACAUAGAACACCAAUUGCGAAGGCAGCUUACUACACAAUCAUUGACGCUGAGGCACGAAAGCGUGGGGAUCAAACA
rnacentral:rRNA from 1 species